GUUUCCGUAGUGUAGUGGUCUUCACUUGCGCUUCACACGCGCAAAGUCCCCGGUUCGGUCCCGGGCGGAAACG
rnacentral:tRNA from 1 species